CUUAAUCUGAGUAGCAAACCUUUGCUUCUUCUUAAAAUAACUUCAUGGCUUUUUGUUCUGCUUCUUGUUACGUGGAAUUUGAGCUUUUUUAAGGAACCUUGGUCACAGACCAGACAAGAUGCCUUUGUCUCCUUUCAGCUGGGCUCGGCAGCUGACUUUGUGUGGGAGGGAGAGGUCAGGCAGUGAAAGAGAGGGGAGAGGUGUGGAGGUGACUGUAAAUUGUCCUGCUGGGAUUUGGGGCUGGAAAGGAAGCCCUGCUCAGUGUGAACAAUGGCAUUACGAUGGCUAAUUUUGGCUUUGCAUAAACUGGUGGUGACCCUGCAGUAGUGGUGGUGGCAGUAGCCACUCCUCCUGAAUUGUCCUGAUUGAGUAGAUUUGCAAAGGAAAAAAGGCAAGUACUAAAACACUGGGAUUUAGCAGCAGAGUGGUUGUACUCCUGGACCUGGUUUUUUUGUGCAAAUUCAACAGUUCUUGGAGGAAAGUGCCAUUGGAAAUGUGUCUGGUCGGUGCCCCAGGAGGGAAAGGGAGUGGUGUGAGCUGAGGAGCUGCCCUUCCUCUGUGCUGUGGUCUAGCAGCCAGGCAAGAGCAGAAGGCCCUCAUUUUCACACUGGGAUGCACGGAAUGCCUGCCAAGGGAUUGUGUAAUAUUAAUGCCGUGGCAAACACUUGAAUGCUGUGGUAGUUCUCUCUCCAGAAAGCAGUAUGCCACCCUCCAGAAGCUCCACUUGCAGCAGGCUCCCCAUGUGUGUCCUUCAGCCACGUCCCACUGUGUGUUUCAGGUGCCCCAGGCUGGAGGACGAGCGGGAAUUGGCACCGAGGCAGCCGUGCCAAGAGAACGGUUCCAUCCAGCCACAGCCUUCCUGGGCUGCCCCACCCCAGGUGUCCCGGCCACGGGAGGUUUGGGAACGCAGCAGGAGCCCCCCCAGCCCCCAUUCCCUGAGGGAUGUGGUGCCCAGAGCCGGAGCAGCGCUGCUGGAGAGACCGAGGGGUCCCUGGAGGGAGCACACGGGGACCUGGCUGCCAGCGAGGAAGGCUCUGAGCAGCUCCUCUCCUCAGCUCCUGACCCCACACCAGCCACCCCCGAGGAGGGACAGCUGCAGGGAGGUGUUCCAGGAUCAAAGUCUGUGCUGAGUAACUGGUGGGCUGGCCCGGAGGAGAGCAGUGCAGAGCCCCUGGUGUCCAGCAGUGCCGAGGAGGGGGUGACCCCCAGCACUGCCAGCGAGCAGCAGGAGCGGGACGGGGAUGCCCAGGCUGGGGAGGGCUCCCCACUGCCCCCACUGAGCCCUGCCCUGGCACAGCAGGAGCCCUGGGACAGCUCAGCACCACACAGGGACACAGAAGUGCUGCAGAGUCACCUGAGCCACCAUUCCCUGUUCCUGGAGCAGCACCGGGCUCGGGCCCCGGAGGGAGCAGCAGAGAUGUCUGAUG
rnacentral:lncRNA from 1 species